AUGUGGUUUCAGGCAUAUAAGCGUUUGCAUAGACGUCUCACUUGGGAUGAAUUCACGGGUGCUGUGGUGACUGAAUUUGGGCAUGACGAGUAUGAUGUUCACAUGACUAAGUUGCAGCAGUUACGGCAAACCAUGAGCACUCGCUGGUUUGUCUCUCAGUUUGUCUUUGGAUUACGAGAUGAGCUUUGUGGACCUGUGAGAUUGCAGGCUCCUACUAGUGUUACUUGCGCUGCAGCUUUGGCAAAAAUUCAGGAAGAAGAAGUGGAACACAUACGACCCAGAAAUCGUCCCGCAGCUCCAACAAAACAUCCACCACAACCUGUAGCAGGUGUGGUGCAUACACCAGCUCUGGGACGAACAGAAUUGCCUCCCCGUCAGGGCAAUGAUGACUUUAACAGGGAACGGCAGAUCCGUGAUUUUCGGCGCGCCAAUGGUCUUUGUUUUAAAUGUGGGGAUAAGUAUUCCAAAGAGCAUCAGUGUAAAAGAUCAGGUCAGCUACUCACUAUUGAAGUUGGAGAAUUUGGUGAAGUAUUAUCAGAUGAUGCAGUGGUUGCCCUGGAUCUCUUGGAAGAAACAAAAAUACCCGCUACUUGCUAUCAUCUUUCUAUGCAUGCUCUCGCGGGAACAGAAGCUUUGGAAACUGUUCGCAUUCGUGCUUUGGUGGGAAAUCAGGUGAUGCUCUUGCUUAUUGACUCUGGCAGCACACACACGUUUGUAAAUAAGAGCUUUGCAGAGCGUGCUGGUUGCACUAUUCAGUUAGUCCCAAUAGUUUCAGUUAAGGUAGAAAAUGGACAAAUUUUGUCGUCUGAUGCUCAAGUACAAGGGUUACAGUGGUGGACACAAGGAUCUACAUUUGUAACUGAUAUGAGGGUCCUGGAGCUUGGGGCCUAUGAUGCCAUAUUAGGCAUGGACUGGCUAGAGCAGUUCAGUCCUAUGAUCUGCCAUUGGCGUCAGAAAACAUUAACAUUCGAUUAUUUGGGAAAAUCCAUUACACUGCAGGGUGUCCUUUCUAAACCACAAGAGUCACUCCGGGAAAUGUCUCUGGAACAGUUAAAUAAGUGGAUUUCGGGGAAUGAGGUCUGGGCCAUGGCUAUGAUUGAUCCUAUACAGCAAACAACAGAAUCUGUACCCAACAUAGUGCAAUCAGAUAUGCAGUCUUUACUCGAGGAAUACCAUGAUGUUUUUGAUCAGCCCACUACUUUGCCACCGCAUCGUGCCUUGGAUCAUUCGAUCUCGUUAGAACCAGGAGCUCAUCCAACAAACAGUCGCCCCUACCGGUACUCUCCAUUGCAAAAGGACGAGAUCGAACGUCAGGUCUCGGAAAUGCUUGACAGAGGGGUGAUUCAGACAAGCAUGAGUCCGUUCGCGUCUCCGGUGCUGUUAGUUAAAAAGAAGGACGACACAUGGCGAUUUUGUGUUGAUUAUCGUCGCUUGAAUUCCAUAACUUUGAAGAACAAGUUUCCCCUACCGGUCGUUGAUGAGUUGCUGGACGAAUUGGCUGGCACUAAAUUUUUCUCCAAGUUAGAUUUACGCGCAGGAUACCAUCAAAUUCGCAUGAGGCCAGAGGAUGAAGAAAAGACAGCCUUUAAAACACAUCACGGCCACUUUCAAUUCCGAGUGAUGCCAUUUGGAUUAACGAAUGCACCAGCCACAUUUUAG
rnacentral:rRNA from 1 species